rnacentral:rRNA from 1 species
AGUGAACGCUGGCGGUAGGCCUAACACAUGCAAGUCGAACGGCAGCACAGUAAGAGCUUGCUCUUACGGGUGGCGAGUGGCGGACGGGUGAGGAAUACAUCGGAAUCUACUUUUUCGUGGGGGAUAACGUAGGGAAACUUACGCUAAUACCGCAUACGACCUACGGGUGAAAGCAGGGGAUCUUCGGACCUUGCGCGAUUGAAUGAGCCGAUGUCGGAUUAGCUAGUUGGCGGGGUAAAGGCCCACCCAGGCGACGAUCCGUAGCUGGUCUGAGAGGAUGAUCAGCCAAACUGGAACUGAGACACGGUCCAGACUCCUACGGGAGGCAGCAGUGGGGAAUAUUGGACAAUGGGCGCAAGCCUGAUCCAGCCAUACCGCGUGGGUGAAGAAGGCCUUCGGGUUGUAAAGCCCUUUUGUUGGGAAAGAAAAGCAGCAGGUUAAUACCCCGCUGUUCUGACGGUACCCAAAGAAUAAGCACCGGCUAACUUCGUG